rnacentral:rRNA from 1 species
UAACGCAGGAUACUUUGAUUCUAAGUAGGAGAAAGUGCUAGUAAUAACUUAUAACACAUGCGAGUUAGAGGUGUUGAGCCUUGGCGAACGGGUGUAGAAAAUUUCCAUUCGUCUGUACAAACCCCUGAAAAAGGGAUAAUUGGGAGUGACCUUCACAGUUGUGGAGAAGUGCUUCGGGAAACUUUAAAGACUUGUAACUAGAGGGAGAUCGUUUUAGAAUAAGGUAGUAGGUCGUAAAGAGAGAACCCUUGUCUGACAUGCGUAGCAAUUAAUGAUAAGAGUCACAUUGACAAUGAAAUAUGGGUCAACCUAACAGGCUGCAGUGAAGAAUCCUGGGCAAUAGGCGAAAGCUGGACCUGGAGACAUUACGUUGAGAGGGGUCUAAUAAUCGUCCCAGCAGACGCGGUCAUACGUUACAUUACUCGAGCUAUUCUUUGACAAGGCGUUUAACGUGCUUGGACCCUGUGGAUGGCAUCCGUUAAAUGCUUCAAAAGUGUGCGUACGGUAGGAAGAGCCAUGUAGGAGUUUAAUCCGCAAAUAUGGACUUAAAAUGACAGAGGCGCAGGCGUUGUGCGGCAUGGAGAAGC